rnacentral:rRNA from 1 species
AGAGUUUGAUCCUGGCUCAGGAUGAACGCUAGCGGCAGGCCUAAUACAUGCAAGUCGGACGGGAUAGGAGAGCUUGCUUUCCUUGAGAGUGGCGCACGGGUGCGUAACACGUAUGUAACCUACCCAUAUCAGGGGGAUAGCCUCUCGAAAGAGAGAUUAAGCCCGCAUAACAUCACGGUAUAGCAUUAUAAUGUGAUCAA